UACGUAGGGUGCAAGCGUUAAUCGGAAUUAUUGGGCGUAAAGGGCGCGUAGGCGGUUUUGUCGGUCAGAUGUGAAAGCCCGGGGCUCAACCCCGGACGUGCAUUUGAAACAGCAAGACUUGAGUACGGGAGAGGAAAGCGGAAUUCCUGGUGUAGAGGUGAAAUUCGUAGAUAUCAGGAGGAACACCGAUGGCGAAGGCAGCUUUCUGGACCGAUACUGACGCUGAGGCGCGAAGGCGUGGGUAGCGAACAGGAUUAGAUACCCUGAUAGUCCACGCAGUAAACGAUGUACACUCGGUGUAGCGGAUAUUAAAAUCUGCUGCGCCCAAGCUAACGCAUUAAGUGUACCGCCUGGGGAGUACGGUCGCAAGACUAAA
rnacentral:rRNA from 1 species